rnacentral:rRNA from 1 species
AUUGAACGCUGGCGGCAUGCUUUACACAUGCAAGUCGAACGGCAGCGCGGGCUUCGGCCUGGCGGCGAGUGGCGAACGGGUGAGUAAUACAUCGGAACGUGCCCAGUAGUGGGGGAUAGCUCGGCGAAAGCCGGAUUAAUACCGCAUACGACCUGAGGGUGAAAGCGGGGGAUCUUCGGACCUCGCGCUAUUGGAGCGGCCGAUGGCAGAUUAGCUAGUUGGUGGGGUAAAGGCCUACCAAGGCGACGAUCUGUAGCUGGUCUGAGAGGACGACCAGCCACACUGGGACUGAGACACGGCCCAGACUCCUACGGGAGGCAGCAGUGGGGAAUCUUGGACAAUGGGCGAAAGCCUGAUCCAGCAAUGCCGCGUGUGUGAUGAAGGCCUUCGGGUUGUAAAGCACUUUUGGCGGGAACGAAAAGGACUGUGCCAAUACCACGGUUCGAUGACGGUACCCGCAGAAUAAGCACCGGCUAACUACGUG